ACCAGAGACAAACUCCAAGAUGGACAGUUCUAGACAGAAAUCUGCUUUGAGGUGCUCCAUCUGAUCCUGUUCAUCUGUACAUGUUUUCUUGGAGGAAAACAGUUCCUACAGACAGGCAGGGAAAGACAGCACUUAAAGCGGGAUGAGGUGAUUAAGACUGUAGUUUUACAGGCUGGCUGCUGCUCGGCAGAUGGAAAUUUUCCAGGCUGCCAGAAGAAAAGGGGAAGAAAAGGAAACCCGGAAGAAAGCGAAGGCAUGACUGCUGCCCCAGGGGAUCCGACGUAUGUAAAAAGGAAUGUACAAGCCCAAGUGCACUUGCCUCGCGUGCCUUCCCAACCCCACGGAUGUGGGCAGGACCGUACGGUUCUGGGUGUUAACCUCGCCAUAAAGCAGAAAUUCCCCCUAAUUUCACAGAAUCACGAAUUUACUGAGCUGGAGAGACCCACUCCUGGCCCUGCCUAGGCCGUGUCCUCUCGUCCUGACGCUGGUUGCCUGGGAGAAGAGCCCGACCCCCACCUGGCUGCAGCCUCCUUUCCAGCCUGGAUUCGGCAGGUGGAAGCCCGAGGGCCAGGACAGCCAGGCUGUGCCUGCAGCUGCUGCCCGCGGGCUGCCCAAGAGACUUCUGGAAAGCAGCAGUGAUGCCCUUAUGCAACAAAUAUCUGAAAGAUUUAAAGCACAGUUGUGUGCGCUGCUUCGAGGCAGCUGUUUCCAUGAGCAAAGCCCUGCUGCCUCCUGACGUGACCCAUGUCCGAGCAGGAUUUUAAAGGGAUCAUUUGCUCCAUGCUGUGCUACUGCCAGUCUCUGACCUUUAAUGCAAUUUGGCAAAUCAGAUGGCUCUGAUUACAAAAGCCUUUGAAACAUGCUGACACCUCGUGCUGUCUGCUGGAGACCAGAGUACUCGAAAACAGACAGAGCCAACGCAAUUUCCAUAGGAGCUUACGGAGGUUCUUAUGGAUCCUGACUCUACAUGCCCUUGGUCUCUGCUCCUUGAGACUCUUGUGAGCUGUUCAGCCUUUUGCCUUUCAGGUGAGUCACUUUGCACAGUUGCAUCUGUGCAUGAUUUUGUUCCCUCUCUCUCAUUUUGUGUUUUAGAUUGCUCCAAGCCUGUAUUUAAGUUCUCAUCUUUUUCUACACCACUGUGAAAUGACUGUUUUUCCAAUGCUUUUUGAUCCAUGUAUGGAAAUAAGCGAAAACAUGCUUGGUGCUGCAAAGAAAAAGGUUUUUCCUGCAGCACAGAACCAGCCAAAAUGCUUUGUAAGAGCACAUCUAAUUAUCUAAUCUCUCCCUUCUCUGGCCCCAUUCCCUUCCUCUCUGUGAUCAUCAUGCUCCAGCUAUGGUUGGCCAGAGUUCUCCCUUGCACAGAGCACAGUGUGUUGCCAAUACCACUGUUGUUUGCAGAUUUACAAGGUCUGGUUUUAAAUGCCCUUGCGACAAACAAAAACAUGUACAUGCUGCUUCUGUCUUAACAGUUGUUAACCCUAAAUCACAG